UCUAAAAAUGGCUGGGUUAUUUUUUAACCCAAAAUGCUGGGUUGAGUCUGUUGGGUUGUUUUGCUGGGUUAUUUUUUUACAUUUUAAACACUUUUUGGGUAGUUUCAGUUUUCUAGGUGUUGGGUUAAAACUGCUGGGUUAUUAUGUUGGGUUGUUUGAAGAGGCUCACGUGCUUCGCGCCCUUGAUGUUUGAAUGUGCUCAGCAAUGGUCGUCGUGAAAGGACAGAGUCACUGAAGCAGUUGUUUCAAGAGUGUGCAGAGUUUUAACGUCCAUCCAUUGAUGAGGCUAGCAAGACCUUCAUACAACUUCAGCCAAUUGCAACAAAUGUGGUGGAAUUUCUUCUCUGGACAGAAUCCUCGAAACCCUUUCCUUUCGUCCUGGCCAUGGGAAACAUGCAGCAGAUCUCUCAAUCUUUUUUCUCAAUCAGUCUCUCUGAAUACGGAAGUGACUUAAACUGCAAUUCGGCCAAGAUGGCGACGGCACGCACCGCCUACUUUAAGCUUCAAAAAUGCUCUUCACAAACCAAUGGGUGACGUCACAGACACUACUUGCAUAUUUUUUACAGUCUCUGGUUUAAAGGCAUUUUAAGUGCUUAAAAAAAUAAAUACCCCAGGCAAUGUGCUUCUAUGGGAAUUCCUGUAGUCUGUCAUUUUUCAAAUGGAUGAAUCCUCUCCUGUUCGAUUCCUUUGUACAUCUUUGUUUGCGACGAGUAACUUUAAUAAAUGAAGUAUUUUU